UACGGGGGGGGCAAGCGUUGUUCGGAAUUACUGGGCGUAAAGGGCUCGUAGGCGGCCAACUAAGUCAUACGUGAAAUCCCUCAGCUUAACUGGGGAACUGCGUGUGAUACUGGAUGGCUUGGAUGUGGGAGAGGGAUGCGGAAUUCCAGGUGUAGCGGUGAAAUGCGUAGAUAUCUGGAGGAACACCGGUGGCGAAGGCGGCAUCCUGGACCAUUAUUGACGCUGAGGAGCGAAAGCCAGGGGAGCAAACGGG
rnacentral:rRNA from 1 species